rnacentral:misc_RNA from 1 species
AAGUCGUAACAAGGUUUCCGUAGGUGAACCUGCGGAAGGAUCAUUAACACAAUUUUACUGUGAUAAAUCCGUUGAAUUCUCGAAUUCAAUGGUAUCCACCCCAUUAUUGACGAACUUUUAAGAUGUUAAAACUAAAAACGUAGAGCUAGUCUUUAUAAUUUUUAACACUCUAAACCUUUUCUAUACCCACACAUUUAAACCCCUUUUACAACAUGUCUUAGACUGAAAUGAAAAUUUUCUAUCAAAAAAUUGAUAAAAACAACUUUUAACAACGGAUAUCUUGGCUCUC